GAUGAAGAACGCAGCGAAAUGCGAUACGUAAUGUGAAUUGCAGAAUUCAGUGAAUCAUCGAGUCUUUGAACGCACAUUGCGCCCCCUGGUAUUCCGGGGGGCAUGCCUGUCCGAGCGUCAUUGCCGCCCUCAAGCACGGCUUGUGUGUUGGGCCCCCGCCCCCCGGCUUCGGGGGGCGGGCCCGAAAGGCAGCGGCGGCACCGCGUCCGGUCCUCGAGCGUAUGGGGCUUCGUCACCCGCUCUGUAGGCCCGGCCGGCGACCGCCGGCGACCCCAAUCAAUCUUUCCAGGUUGACCUCGGAUCAGGUAGGGAUACCCGCUGAACUUAAGCAUAUCAAUAAGCGGAGGA
rnacentral:misc_RNA from 1 species